UGUAUUGCCUGCAAACAAUUCGGAGCAUAAUUGUGUUGCACCGUAAAUUGUCCGCGAGUUUCAUGUUGAAAUGUAAAUAGUUUCAUCUUAAAAGGGACUCGGACCUGCUGCAGCAGACUCUCCCAGUACCCGAUGUCCAGGUUGGAUCCCCCGGCACGAAUCUUGCUCUCGAUGUUGAGAUGCAGCGCCUGCAGCUGGCUGUACGUCUUCCCUUUGAACACGAUCUGGACGUCGCUGCUCACCGCCGUGUUGAUGCCGUCACGCCGGUCGCCUGAAGGUCAUUUCAACAGACGCUAUCGAGCUUUCCGGACCCAGGAUAAGUUCUAACACGUCGCCGGUGGGAUAAGAAGACCUACCCGGUCCUUUUCCUGUGGCCUCCAGUUUUCUCAACUUGCUGAUCUCGUCCUCGGUGAUGGUGGUCAUGUCUCUCCAGAAGUCCACGUUCUUGCCUUGUUCCAGCUCCAUGUAUACCUGAUGCACAAUGACACUCAGGUGUUAAAACUGAGCAUUCUUACCUCUGCCAGGAGGUUUUGUAAGUCAGUUGGCAACAUGACUUGAGAAGUAAAGCUGCCACAAAAAAUUGGAGGAUGCGGGAAGAACUAUGGAUCCCAUCGGACUGUCUACCCCGCAGUUUUUGAGGACCAGUCAUUAACAAUUUAGAGUGAAAAGCAAAUUUUAUUUUUACCCGCAUACAAAAUAUUCUAACUUGGAUUGUUUCCCUGGCGUUGAGACUCUCCCGAAGGACAGUGCGGCGAAGACACAACAAACUCCUUUCUUGUCUCUCAUGGACACACACCUGUUGUUGUUGACUUUGGACUAGCGACUGCACAAUACAUCAAGGCCGUGGAACAGAGACACACCACGGGCUUGCAGACACACACACACACACACACACACAUCCACAAAAAUAUACGCCACACAUACACACCCCAACCUCCCAACCCAAUGCCCUCGAUGCAAAUCCCAUAUGGGUGAAGAAUGGAUUGUCGGCCUACCAUCAUGACCACGAACUCCCUUCCCUCUGUUGCUAGAUAUGAAUGAAUGAACUUUAUUGUCAUUGUGCAUGUACAGGUACAGGUCCAACGAAAUUUAGGUUGCUUCCCUGAGGUGCUUUGCAUUGAAAAAAAAGAAGAAAGCACACAAUAUACAGAAAAAACACAAUAUGCAACAUACAAUAUGGCCUAAGACCACUAAGAGGCAAUGUAAAAAAUGAGACAAUAAAAGUAUAAAGUGACUAGUAAAACUGACAAGAGCGGAGUAAUGCUGAUUCCCAGUGUGCUGAGGGGGUGGGAGUCAGUAUUUCCUGCCUCCUAUGCUGUGCAGGCUUUUUAUUCUGGAUUAAAGAUGUAAAUCAGGGGCGCUCACACUUUUUCUGCAGGCCAGCUACUUUUCAAUUGACCAAGUCGAGGAGAUCUACCUCAUUCCUAUUUAUUUAUUUAUGAAAGAGACAUUUUUGUUAACAAGUGAAUGGUGUUUAAUGAUAAUACAAGCAUGUUUAACACACAUAGAUUCCUUUCUUUCAUGAAGACAAGAAUAUAAGUUGGUGUAUUACCUGAUUCUGAUGACUUGCAUUGAUUGGAAUUAGACAGUGGUGCUGAUAACGUCCGCAUUUUCAAAUGGAGGGAAAAAAAAAGUCCUCCUUUCUGUCCAAUACCACAUGAAAGUGGUUGGAUUUUGGCAUCUCAUUUGUCCAACUUGCAUACUCGUUUUUAAACACUUUGUUAUGAGAGUAGCAUAUGUGUGUGGCCCUUUAAUGUCUGGCAGCAGGUGAGUGAUGUCAGUGAGUGUGCGGGUGGGCAAGCAAGUGAGAAAGCGGUCGCUGAGGGUGGGGGAGAAAUACAUUGGCAUCAAACUCCGUAGCGCGCUAGCUUUCUGAGACUCUUAUUUAGUUAGCACAGGCAGGAUGAAACAGGUCUUUUAUGGUGAAGACAGGAACUGUGCAGUCGGUCUUUAGAGUUUUGACAGUAGGUACGGAGUCUCUAGAAAUAAAAUGUGUUUCUCUGCGUCCGCCCCGUUAGUGAUUUUUUUCUUAAAUAUGAGCUCGCAGCAGCCAGCGUCAUCUCACAAGAUCCUCGGGUGCCGAGAAUGUCAAACAACUGACGUAAGUGAAGUCUUGGUAUGAUUGAUGAUUGCUCAUUUUUAUGUCUAUUUUUUAAUGCCUGGCUUGAGAUCGACUGACACACCCUCCGAGAUCGACGUAAUGGGCACCCCUGAUGUAAAUAAAUAUGGUAAAUAUUGUCCAGUUGGCAUGUAACCACUGAUUGCACAGUCCCGGAUCAUGAUUGACCAGUGGCUUCCUCGUGUUGCACAUGAGGGAGUUUUUAUUUUUACUGCGUUUAGUGCAGUUAUGGCCCGGGGGUGGAAACUGUUCUUGAGUCUAUUUGUGCGGGUUCGCAUGGUUCGGAAACGUCUGCCGGAAGGCAGCCGUUCGAAGUGGCUGUUGCCGGGGUGGGAUGGGUCCUUGAGUAUGUUGGCUGUCUUCUUCAGGCAGCGGGAGUUGUACAGUUCUUCCAGGGAGGGGAGGGGGCACCCGAUGAUUUUUUUGGGCCUCUGGAGAGCUUUCCUCUCUGCUGCUGUGCAGCUGCAGAACCAUACACAGAUGCAGUAUGUGAGGAUGCUCUCCACAGAAUAUCUCGAGAUUUAUGUUGUAAUAUGUAUAUGUGCUUUGCUAUGGGGUUUUUUUUUCCCACUCCAGACUGGGCCCCCCCAAGAAGCCCAGUCUAGAUUGUAUUUUUUUUUCUCAUCCUUCCCCAGCGUUUUACCUUUUUCACAUCUUUUACGGGGCGCCUUGUGGCGACCCAUCAGCGUUCCUGUACUGUAACCCUCUACACUGUUUGUUUUUGUCUAAUCUUGAACGGGUUUGUGCUUAAAACAAAAGUUUUGUUGUACUUGUGCAAUGACAAUAAAGACCUAUCUAACUAUCUAAA